CUUAUUUCCAAGUCAGCUAAUUAGGUAGCUUCACACAAUGAACUUGUCACUAGUUUUAUUAUAUAUGAUUUUUAUUAUUUCAGAUGCCCAGAGCAGCAUUACCAUGACCCAAACCAGCUCUGUAUUUGCUCAAACAGGGCAAAGCAUCAAGAUCUCCUGCAAGAUUUCUGGGUUUGUAAUCCAAGACUGGUGGAAAGCUUGGAUGCGACAGCCUCCUGGUAAAGGACUGGAAUGGCUGGCCAGCUAUCAUAAAGAAAGUAGCUCGAACAGUUAUUCCUCCACUAUUAAGGGACGUUUUAUUGCUUCAAUGGAUGUUUCCAGCAGUACAUUUUUUCUGCAAAUGGACAAUCUUCAGACAUAAGAUUCUGCAGUGUAUUACUGCA